ACAUACAAUUUCGGCAUUUCCUCCAACUGUAAAAUAAGCAAAGAUAAGUGACACAUGUUUACACUUUACAUAGUCCUCACCACAGCCAUCAUCUAACUCUCUUUGCUUCCACCACCACCUCCGCUUCUCCCUCUGAACGUCGGUUGCGAGUUGCGACCACCUCAGGUCCGUCUCUCACCCAUGGAAACAUGGGCAUCUGCUACGGUCCACAAAUUAAAAGGUUGGAGUUGGAAAAAAACAAUAGAAGAGCCCUUUAUAUGUUGAAGAUAAAAGGCCCCAAAAAUUAUUAACUUAACAUAACAGGCCCAUAAAACAAUUAACCUAGUUAACUAGUUUAAAGAAUUCAAUCCGAAUCUUCCUUAUUGUCCUCCUUUUAGUUUUUGAGACUCACUCAGAUCAUGAUCAAAAUCACAAGCUCUCUAAUUUUCUUCGGUCGUAAAGCUCAUUAAAGCCUAGACAUGUAUAUCUUAAAAGCUCCUA